rnacentral:pre_miRNA from 1 species
UACCCUGUAGAACCGAAUUUGUGUGAUGAAACCAGAGUCACAGAUUCGAUUCUAGGGGAGUAU